rnacentral:rRNA from 1 species
GAUGAACGCUAGCUACAGGCUUAACACAUGCAAGUCGAGGGACCGGCGCACGGGUGAUUAACACUUAUCCAACCUGCCCUUUACUCGGGGAUAACCUUCCGAAAGAAGGAUUAAUACCCAAUAUAAAGGAUGGGGAUGCGUUCAAUUAGGUUGUUGGUGAGGUAACGGCCCACCAAGGCUACGAUGGAUAGGGGUUCUGAGAGGAAGGGCCCCCACAUUGGAACCGAGACAAGGUCCAAACGCCUACGGGAGGCAGCAGUGAGGAAUAUUGGUCAAUGGGCGCAAGCCUGAACCAGCCAAGUAGCGGGAAGGAUGAAGGCCUAUGGGUUGUAAACUGCUUUUAUAUGAGGAUAGGUAGUAUAUGAAUAAGGAUCGGCUAACUCCGUGCCAGCAGCCGCGGUAAUUU